rnacentral:miRNA from 1 species
UAGAGCUGCCGGGUAACAAUGAAUAAUUUUUUAGUAUAAGUAUAUCCCAUGCAAUAUUUGGAACAUACUUAUACUAAAAAUUAUGUGUUGUUUAUCUGAAAUUCCAACUUAACU